rnacentral:rRNA from 16 species
GGAUGCGAUCAUACCAGCACUAAAGCACCGGAUCCCAUCAGAACUCCGAAGUUAAGCGUGCUUGGGCGAGAGUAGUACUAGGAUGGGUGACCUCCUGGGAAGUCCUCGUAUUGCCUUCC